rnacentral:rRNA from 1 species
AGAGUUUGAUCCUGGCUCAGGAUGAACGCUAGCGGUGUGCUUUAUGCAUGCAAGUCGUACGAUUUUAGCUUGCUAAAAUAGUGGCGGACGGGUGAGUAACACGUAAGUAAUCCACCCUCAAGUUGGGGACAACCUUGGGAAACCGGGGCUAAUACCGAAUGUGAUGGUUUGACAUAAGUCAGAUUAUUAAAGCAGUAAUGCGCUUGAGGAGGAGCUUGCGGUCGAUUAGCUAGUUGGUAGGGUAAAAGCUUACCAAGGCUACGAUCGAUAGCUGGUCUGAGAGGACGAUCAGCCACACUGGGACUGAGACACGGCCCAGACUCCUACGGGAGGCAGCAGCAAGGAAUUUUGGGCAAUGGGCGAAAGCCUGACCCAGCAACACCGCGUGGGGGAUGACGGCCUUCGGGUUGUAAACCCCUUUUACUAGGGAAGAAUAAAAUGAUGGUACCUAGUGAAUAAGCCCCGGCUAACUACGUGCCAGCAGCCGCGGUAAGACGUAGGGGGCAAGCGUUAUCCGGAUUUAUUGGGCGUAAAGAGAGCGUAGGCGGCUUUUCAAGUCGGAUGUGAAAUUUCCCAGUUUAACUGGGAGGGGUCAUUCGAUACUGUUAGGCUUGAGUGCAGCAGGGGGAAACGGAAUUCCCGGUGUAGUGGUGGAGUGCGUAGAUAUCGGGAGGAAUACCAGAGGUGAAAGCGGUUUCCAAGGCUGUUACUGACGCUGAGGCUCGAAAGCGUGGGGAGCAAACAGGCUUAGAUACCCUGGUAGUCCACGCCAUAAACGAUGGAUACUAGGUAUAGGGAGUAUCGACCCUCUCUGUGCCGAAGCUAACGCUUUAAGUAUCCCGCCUGGGGAGUACGGUCGCAAGAUUAAAACUCAAAGGAAUUGACGG